AGAGUUUGAUCCUGGCUCAGAACGAACGCUGGCGGCGCGCCUAACACAUGCAAGUCGAGCGCGAAAGGGGCUUCGGCUCCGAGUAGAGCGGCGAACGGGUGAGUAACACGUGGAUAACCUACCUCCAGGUCUGGAAUAACCUUCCGAAAGGAGGGCUAAUGCCGGAUGAGCCCCCGGCGGCUUCGGCCGCAGAGGGAAAAGCUGGCCUCUGCUUGCAAGCUGGCGCCUGGAGAUGGGCCUACGGCGCAUUAGCUAGUUGGUAGGGUAAUGGCCUACCAAGGCGACGAUGCGUAGCCGGCCUGAGAGGGUGAUCGGCCACACUGGGACUGAGACACGGCCCAGACUCCUACGGGAGGCAGCAGUAGGGAAUCUUCCGCAAUGGACGAAAGUCUGACGGAGCAACGCCGCGUGAGCGAGGAAGGUCUUCGGAUCGUAAAGCUCUGUUGCCGGAGACGAAACUCGAUGAGAGUGACUGCUCAUCGAUUGACGGUAUCCGAGAAGAAAGCCCCGGCUAACUACGUGCCAGCAGCCGCGGUAAUACGUAGGGGGCGAGCGUUGUCCGGAAUUAUUGGGCGUAAAGCGCGCGCAGGCGGCCGUUUAAGUUUGGUGUAACAGCCCUGGGCUCAACCGAGGGAGGCACUGAAAACUGGACGGCUUGAGUGCAGGAGAGGAAAGUGGAAUUCCACGUGUAGCGGUGAAAUGCGUAGAGAUGUGGAGGAACACCAGUGGCGAAGGCGGCUUUCUGGCCUGUAACUGACGCUGAGGCGCGAAAGCGUGGGUAGCGAACAGGAUUAGAUACCCUGGUAGUCCACGCCGUAAACGAUGAAUGCUAGGUGUUAGGGGUUUCGAUACCCUUGGUGCCGAAGUUAACACAGUAAGCAUUCCGCCUGGGGAGUACGGUCGCAAGACUGAAACUCAAAGGAAUUGACGG
rnacentral:rRNA from 1 species